rnacentral:tRNA from 1 species
UCCCGUUUAGCUCAGUUGGUAGAGCGCGUCACUAGUACUUCCUAAUAAAGAAGGCAUGACGAGGUCAGUCGUUCGAGUCGGCUAAUGGGAA